rnacentral:rRNA from 1 species
UACGAGAGGCCCAAACGUUAUUCGGAAUUACUGGGCUUAAAGAGUUCGUAGGCGGCAUUGCAAGUAGGGUGUGAAAGCCCUCGGCUCAACCGAGGAAUUGCGCUCUAAACUGCAGUGCUUGAGGAACCUAGAGGUGAGCAGAACAGAUGGUGGAGCGGUGAAAUGCGUUGAUAUCAUCUGGAAUACCGGAGGCGAAGGCGGCUCACUGGGAGUUCUCUGACGCUGAGGAACGAAAGCCAGGGUAGCGAACGGG